UAGGGAAUCUUCCACAGUGGACGCAAGUCUGAUGGAGCAACGCCGCGUGAGUGAAGAAGGGUUUCGGCUCGUAAAGCUCUGUUGUUAAAGAAGAACGUGGGUAAGAGUAACUGUUUACCCAGUGACGGUAUUUAACCAGAAAGCCACGGCUAACUACAUGCAAG
rnacentral:rRNA from 1 species